UACGGGGGGGGCAAGCGUUGUUCGGAAUUACUGGGCGUAAAGGGCUCGUAGGCGGCCAACUAAGUCAGACGUGAAAUCCCUCGGCUUAACCGGGGAACUGCGUCUGAUACUGGAUGGCUUGAGGUUGGGAGAGGGAUGCGGAAUUCCAGGUGUAGCGGUGAAAUGCGCAGAUAUCGGGAAGAACACCCGUGGCGAAGGCGGCACUCUGGGACGGUACUGACGCUGAGACGCGAAAGCGUGGGGAGCGAACAGG
rnacentral:rRNA from 1 species